CUGGUUUAUUUUAUUCUUCUGUCUCUUCGUCCUCAUCACAGGUCAGUCCUCACGCAGCUCUCCCACAGCCGGUUAGCCCUCUGAUAACGCCACCUGUCACACAGGAAGUGAGACAACAGGUCUUUGACAACAGACUGACUUCAUCCUGCUGGAUUUCUGAGGCCAGAAACCUUCACGGUCAAAAAUCUUCUGGAGCAGCAAAACAUGUCUGAGCUUCAUGAUGGAGAACUUCUCAGUUAAUCCUUCCUGAUGUCCUGCUGAACACAAGCAAGUGAUGAAGAGAACAGAACCUACCAGACAGGCCGACCUGCUGCCCCAGCACUGUGGCGUACAGGUGGGUGAUAUUGCGAGAGUAGCCUCCAA